UACAAUCAACCAUCGCCAAUGCUUUUCGGACGAAAUUGGACGGCGACAGGCCGAGAGGUCCGUUGUGGAGAGGGAAAAAGCUCAUCGGGAAGGAAGCGCUCUUCGUUAUAUUAGGCUUGAAGCGAUUCAAAGACGAAAACGAAAACCUCGAUAAACUCAUCAAUCACUCGCUGCUAAGAUCAUUUUUAUACAAAAUGUCUCAAGACCCGGCUAGGAAAUAUGCAAGAGGUGAUUCGGAUACCAGACAUAAACUUACAUGCAACUUUCUACGGAUCAUUUUGGAACUUUGAUGAUUUUUUAUAAUAAAUUCAGUUAUUUAGUUAUGUAAUGUUGUUUAAAAAUUUAUAUUUUUCGUCUAAUCUUCUUCUUCUUUUUUUUAAUA